rnacentral:rRNA from 1 species
AAGGGACCACAAGAACGCGUGGAGCAUGUGGCUUAAUUUGACUCAACGCGGGGAAUCUUACCGGGUCCGGACACACUGAGGAUUGACAGGCGAAAAACUUUGAAAGCUCUUUCUUUUAAGAGCCGACGCUGUUUUGUAAAUUUGCUAGUCCUUUCAUGAUUGUGUGAUAGGUGGUGCAUGGCCGUUCUUAGUUCGUGGAAUAAUCUGUCUGCUUAAUUGCGUCAAACUCAAAGGCACACUAUAGUUUCAAGGUUUAAAAAGGUUCAGAGCCUCCCCGGCUCUUGUUCUCGGAUUUUACUUUGGCUAUGGUAACACGUGUCUUCUGCAACGAACGUGACCCCAACCCUUUUUUGUGCUGUCAUUUUAUGGUUUAAAGGGGCUUCCUCUCGGGGAAGUGUUCUUUUUUCCUUUUUUACUUGACAGUGUAAUAAAAGGGGACUGCAGGCUUCUAGCUUGAGGAAGGUUGGGGCAAUAACAGGUCUGUGAUGCCCUUAGAUGUUCCGGGCUGCACACGUGCUACAAUGAACAGUGCAGUAAGUUUAUAGUUCAAGGCUGGCNUGUUGGUUUUCAUACCUUCAAGUUGGUUUAUACCUACUUCGAGAGAUAGUAGGCAAUCAUUUGUCAGUACUGAUUUCCCAUUAAGCUUUAGUUGAUUUUAACUUUCGGGUUAUUUUCAACGUAUGCUCAUUCUCGUAAGACUUCGUAGUGGGGACAGACCAUUGUUAAUUAUUGGUCUCGCUUCAACUAGGAAUGCCUUGUACUGGAAAUUCAACAGGUUUCCAGGAAUACGUCCCUGCCCUUUGUACACACCGCCCGUC